ACCGUUAAGUAUUAAGGUCCUGCCUGCCCAGUGAAUAAUCAUUUUAACGGCCGCGGUAUCCUAACCGUGCAAAGGUAGCAUAAUCACUUGUCCCCUAAUUAGGGACCCGUAUGAACGGCCAACCGAGGGCAAGCCUGUCUCCUACAGCCAAUCAAUGAAACUGAUCUUCUAGUACAAAAGCUAGAAUAGACACAUAAGACGAGAAGACCCUAUGGAGACA
rnacentral:rRNA from 1 species